rnacentral:rRNA from 1 species
GACGAACGCUGGCGGCGUGCCUAAUACAUGCAAGUCGAGCGGACUGAUUAAGAGCUUGCUCUUAUGACGUUAGCGGCGGACGGGUGAGUAACACGUGGGCAACCUGCCCUGUAGAUCGGGAUAACACCGAGAAAUCGGUGCUAAUACCGGGUAAUAUCUGAGAUCACAUGAUCUUAGGUUAAAAGAUGGCUCCGGCUAUCACUACAGGAUGGGCCCGCCGCGCAUUAGCUAGUUGGUAAGGUAAUGGCUUACCAAGGCGACGAUGCGUAGCCGACCUGGGAGGGUGAGCGGCCACACUGGGACUGGGACACGGCCCAGACUCCUACGGGAGGCAGCAGUAGGGAAUCUUCCGCGAUGGACGAAAGUCUGACGGAGCAACGCCGCGAGAGUGAUGAAGGGUUUCGGCUCGUAAAGCUCUGUUGUUAGGGAAGAAACAGUACCGAACGAACUAGGUCGGUACCUUGACGGUACCUAACCAGAAAGCCACGGCUAACUACGUG